GCGGAAGUGGCGGAACUGGCAGACGCGCCAUCUUGAGGGGGUGGUGCCGAAAGGCGUGGGGGUUCAAGUCCCCCCUUCCGCA
rnacentral:tRNA from 1 species